rnacentral:misc_RNA from 1 species
AAAUGCGAUAAGUAAUGUGCAUUGCAGAAUUCCGUGAAUCAUCGAAUCUUUGAACGCACAUUGCGCCCUCUGGCAUUCCGGGGGGCAUGCCUGUCCGAGCGUCAUUACGCACCCUCAAGCCCGGCUUGUGUGAUGGGCCCCGGCGUCUCGUUCGCGAGACGGGCCCGAAAGGCAGCGGCGGCGUCGACCCGAUGAGCCCGAGCGUAUGGGGACUUCUGUCACACGUUCGUGGUGCGGACCGGCGCCUGCUUGACUUUUCUGAUUAUCCAGGUUGACCUCGGAUCAGGUAGGGAUACCCGCUGAACUUAAGC